rnacentral:rRNA from 1 species
UACAGAGGGGGCAAGCGUUGUUCGGAAUUACUGGGCGUAAAGGGCGCGUAGGCGGCCUGCUAAGUCGAACGUGAAAUCCCUGGGCUCAACCCAGGAACUGCGUCCGAUACUGGUUGGCUUGAAUCCGGGAGAGGGAUGUGGAAUUCCAGGUGUAGCGGUGAAAUGCGUAGAUAUCUGGAGGAACACCGGUGGCGAAGGCGACAUCCUGGACCGGUAUUGACGCUGAGGCG